rnacentral:rRNA from 2 species
AAGCUUGCUUCUAUGACGUUAGCGGCGGUACGGGUGAGUAACACGUGGGCAACCUGCCUGUAAGACUGGGCAUAACUUCGGGAAACCGAAGCUAAUACCGGAUAGGAUCUUCUCCUUCAUGGGAGAUGAUUGAAAGAUGGUUUCGGCUAUCACUUACAGAUGGGCCCGCGGUGCAUUAGCUAGUUGGUGAGGUAACGGCUCACCAAGGCAACGAUGCAUAGCCGACCUGAGAGGGUGAUCGGCCACACUGGGACUGAGACACGGCCCAGACUCCUACGGGAGGCAGCAGUAGGGAAUCUUCCGCAAUGGACGAAAGUCUGACGGAGCAACGCCGCGUGAGUGAUGAAGGCUUUCGGGUCGUAAAACUCUGUUGUUAGGGAAGAACAAGUACGAGAGUAACUGCUUGUACCUUGACGGUACCUAACCAGAAAGCCACGGCUAACUACGUGCCAGCAGCCGCGGUAAUACGUAGGUGGCAAGCGUUAUCC